UGCCCAGCAACUUCUAUCCUUACCUCCUCGAGGUACUCUGGUCAGAGUACGAGCAACCUUAGGGAAAAUCGUGUAACCAAAACUGAUGGCAACAUUGGUCGUAUGCUGAAAUGGAAGG
rfam:Aedes aegypti strain Liverpool supercont1.882 genomic scaffold, whole genome shotgun sequence.